rnacentral:rRNA from 1 species
UACAGGGGGGGCAAGCGUUGUUCGGAAUUACUGGGCGUAAAGGGUCUGUAGGUGGCUUGCUAAGUCAGACGUGAAAUCCCUCAGCUUAACUGGGGAACUGCGUCUGAUACUGGCAAGCUUGAGUGCAGGAGAGGAACGCGGAAUUCCAGGUGUAGCGGUGAAAUGCGUAGAUAUCUGGAGGAACACCUGUGGCGAAGGCGGCACGCUGGGCCUUUCCUGACGCUGAGGCGCGAAAGCCAGGGGAGCGAACGGG